CUAAGUAGCUCAGUUGGUUAGAGCACAUCACUCAUAAUGAUGGGGUCACAGGUUCAAAUCCCGUCUUAGCC
rnacentral:tRNA from 2 species